rnacentral:rRNA from 1 species
UACGGAAGGCAGCAGUGGGGAAUAUUGCACAAUGGGCGCAAGCCUGAUGCAGCCAUGCCGCGUGUAUGAAAAAGGCCUUCGGGUUGUAAAGUACUUUCAGUCGUGAGGAAGGUGUUAAGGUUAAUAACCUUAGCAAUUGACGUUAGCGACAGAAGAAGCACCGGCUAACUCCGUGCCAGCAGCCGCGGUAAUACGGAGGGUGCGAGCGUUAAUCGGAAUUACUGGGCGUAAAGGGCACGCAGGCGGUUAAUUAAGUUGGAUGUGAAUCCCCGGGCUUAACCUGGGAAUGGCAUUCAAGACUGGUUAGCUAGAGUCUUGUAGAGGGGGUAGAAUUCCAUGUGUAGCGGUGAAAUGCGUAGAGAUGUGGAGGAAUACCGGUGGCGAAGGCGGCCCCUGGACAAAGACUGACGCUCAUGUGCGAAAGCGUGGGGAGCGAAACAGGGAUUAGA